AUUGAACGCUGGCGGCAUGCCUUACACAUGCAAGUCGAACGGUAACGGGCCUUCGGGUGCCGACGAGUGGCGAACGGGUGCGUAAUACAUCGGAACGUGCCCGAUCGUGGGGGAUAACGAGGCGAAAGCUUUGCUAAUACCGCAUACGAUCUACGGAUGAAAGCAGGGGACCGCAAGGCCUUGCGCGGACGGAGCGGCCGAUGGCAGAUUAGGUAGUUGGUGGGAUAAAAGCUUACCAAGCCGACGAUCUGUAGCUGGUCUGAGAGGAUGAUCAGCCACACUGGGACUGAGACACGGCCCAGACUCCUACGGGAGGCAGCAGUGGGGAAUUUUGGACAAUGGGCGCAAGCCUGAUCCAGCCAUGCCGCGUGCAGGAUGAAGGCCUUCGGGUUGUAAACUGCUUUUGUACGGAACGAAAAGCCUUCUUUUAAUACAGGAGGGUCAUGACGGUACCGUAAGAAUAAGCACUGGCUAACUACGUG
rnacentral:rRNA from 1 species